rnacentral:rRNA from 1 species
GAUGAACGCUAGCUACAGGCUUAACACAUGCAAGUCGAGGGGAAACGGCAUUGAGUGCUUGCACUCUUUGGACGUCGACCGGCGCACGGGUGAGUAACGCGUAUCCACCCUUCCCAUUACUGUGGGAUAACCUGCCGAAAGGCAGACUAAUAACGCUUAGUAUUCGCUUACGGCAUCAGAUUUGAAGUAAAGAUUUAUCGGUAAUGGAUGGGGAUGCGUCUGAUUAGCUUGUUGGCGGGGUAACGGCCCACCAAGGCGACGAUCAGUAGGGGUUCUGAGAGGAAGGUCCCCCACAUUGGAACUGAGACACGGUCCAAACUCCUACGGGAGGCAGCAGUGAGGAAUAUUAGUCAAUGGACGGAAGUCUGAACCAGCCAAGUAGCGUGCAGGAGGACGGCCCUAUGGGUUGUAAACUGCUUUUGUAUGGGGAUAAAGUUAGGGACGUGGCCCUAUUUGCAGGUACCAUACGAAUAAGGACCGGCUAAUUCCGUG